rnacentral:rRNA from 1 species
AGUAGAUAGCUUAACCUUCGGGGGGGCGUUUACCACGGUAUGAUUCAUGACUGGGGUGAAGUCGUAACAAGGUAACCGUAGGGGAACCUGCGGUUGGAUCACCUCCUUACCU